CCUCAUCUUCUGCUCUUUGUGUGCUCUCCCUCUGAUAGCUAAGGCCUGAACUGUACUAGUGGCUGGUAGAGAUAGCUCCAAACACUUGAUGAUGUCACAUGUGUGAUGUCAUAAAGGAAGAUUAACAAAGAAAGUCGGCUGUUUAGAUCAGCGCUGGGGCCGCACAGACUCUGGGAGGAAGAGAGCAGCAGAGAUGGAAGCUCCUCCCCCUCCCCCACAUGACCCCCUGUGUUCCAUGCUGUAUUUCCUGCUUCACCAAUAAAGCUGCCCACGGGAAAAUGAAGCCUUCCCCUGCCCACAGCUGGUGCUAUGUACAAUUCUGCGGUGACGACUCAUUGAAAGGUUGGAAGAAGACUUCAUGACGGUCUGAGCAAGACAGAGAAGAAAAGAGAAGAGAGCGACUCAGAGAAGACACCUCCUAGGAUCAGAAUCCGCUGACAAAGUGAGGAAGCAUCUGGGCAUCAAGUUCUGCAGAGAGAAGAUAUAGCUGGAACAAAUCCUGGCAUCAGCAUAGUACAUAGAAGAGGCCUCGAGGCCGGAAGAAGCGCAUACCUGUGCGCGAAACCGCCGGCAGUCGCCUCUGAGCUCCCCACGCGUCCGCCAGCCCUGGUUCCGGAGGAGCAGCCCGAGAUGGGAGCCGUUUGAACAGAACUGAAGCGGUGAGUGCAGGACACCUGUUUUAUGUCUUUCUUGGGUAUUACGUUCAUUGCUGCAUAUUUGUUCUAGCACCACCGCCUCUGAAGUUUCUGGGUACUGCCCGAGUGUCACCAUUGUCCAUCUCGAGGCGCUGCGUUGAUAAGAUCUUUAAGCGCUGGUCCCUGCUUUCCUAUUGCUUGACUGCUGUGGAGAUUGCCGUGCCCUGGGAUAAGUGAAGCUGAUGUCUGUUCUUUAUUGUCUCCUUGAAAUAACUUAAAACUGACUUUAGUAAUAAUGAAUAAAAAUGUACU